rnacentral:misc_RNA from 1 species
UUAAGUUCAGCGGGUAUUCCUACCUGAUCCGAGGUCAACUCUAAGAAAGUUGGGCGUUUUACGGCGUGACCGUCUCCGCGCUCCGGUGCGAGGUUGUGCUACUACGCAGGGGAGGCUGCGGCGAGGUCGCCACUGCAUUUCGGGGGCGGCGGCCGCCGCGAGGGCGGGCCGGUCCCCAACACCAAGCCCCUGGGGGCUUG